UCUCUGGUGGUCUAGCAGUUAUGAUUCAGCACUCUCAUCACUGUGGCCCAGGUUCAAUCCCUGGUCUGGGAA
rnacentral:tRNA from 1 species